rnacentral:rRNA from 1 species
UACGUAGGGUGCGAGCGUUGUCCGGAAUUAUUGGGCGUAAAGAGCUCGUAGGCGGUGUGUCGCGUCGGUCGUGAAAACUUGGGGCUUAACUCUGAGCUUGCGGUCGAUACGAGCAUCACUGGAGUUCGGCAGGGGAGACUGGAAUUCCUGGUGUAGCGGUGAAAUGCGCAGAUAUCAGGAGGAACACCGGUGGCGAAGGCGGGUCUCUGGGCCGAUACUGACGCUGAGGAGCGAAAGCGUGGGGAGCGAACAGG